GACGAACGCUGGCGGCGCGCCUAACACAUGCAAGUCGAACGAGCGAGAGAGAGCUUGCUUUCUCGAGCGAGUGGCGAACGGGUGAGUAACGCGUGAGGAACCUGCCUCAAAGAGGGGGACAACAGUUGGAAACGACUGCUAAUACCGCAUAAGCCCACGGCUCGGCAUCGAGCAGGGGGAAAAGGAGCAAUCCGCUUUGAGAUGGCCUCGCGUCCGAUUAGCUAGUUGGUGAGGUAACGGCCCACCAAGGCGACGAUCGGUAGCCGGACUGAGAGGUUGAACGGCCACAUUGGGACUGAGACACGGCCCAGACUCCUACGGGAGGCAGCAGUGGGGAAUAUUGCACAAUGGGGGAAACCCUGAUGCAGCGACGCCGCGUGGAGGAAGAAGGUCUCCGGAUUGUAAACUCCUGUUGUUGGGGAAGAUAAUGACGGUACCCAACAAGGAAGUGACGGCUAACUACGUG
rnacentral:rRNA from 1 species